rnacentral:rRNA from 1 species
UACAGAGGGUGCAAACGUUGCUCGGAAUCAUUGGGCGUAAAGCGCACGUAGGCGGCUUUGUAAGUUAGAGGUGAAAGCCCUGGGCUCAACCCCGGAAUUGCCUUUAAGACUGCAUCGCUAGAAUUGUGGAGAGGUAAGUGGAAUUCCGAGUGUAGAGGUGAAAUUCGUAGAUAUUCGGAAGAACACCAGUGGCGAAGGCGACUUACUGGACACAUAUUGACGCUGAGGUGCGAAAGCGUGGGGAGCAAACAGG